rnacentral:lncRNA from 1 species
UAACAUGGGUAAUAAACCACUUACUAAANAUCAGUGGGUUAGGGAAUAGGAGAAGAAAUAAGUUCUGGUAAAUCAUCAAAACAACAAAACAAUGUUUGCAAUAUUUCACUAAUAUUUUUUUAAAAGUAUAUGUGACAUGGAAUAUCUAUGGAAAAAUAUAACAUAUAUGUAAAAAUUUUUAAAAGCUGUUGGGUGAAAAUAUAAGUGGCAUUUUUUAGCUUGAUCAUGUUGCUUUAUGUUUUUAUGGUGAGGGAAAAAAAAAAGAAUGAAUUACCCCAAACUAAAGAUCAAAUGAGUGGCAAAAAGUGCCAAAUUUCAGGUCACUUUCUUACGCUCUGAUGUAAUCAGAGUGAGAUACACUUUGUCUGUUUAGUGUGAAUUGACAAAAUCACAUUUGUUAACAUGGGUAAUAAACCACUUACUAAAAUUGUUAGGUUAAACUGGAACAAAGUGGGCAUAAAACAUCCUGAGUAAUUUUCAAAUGAUGGGGUGAGAAACAGGGAAAACAAUUCUCUAUUUUUGAAAUAUCUUAGACUAGGAGUUGUCUCAUUCUCUCUCGAGAUUCUCUGGCUAUGUAACAUUUAUGUGCAUCUUUGUUUUGCCAAUUAUAUGAAAGUCGUUUAUAUAUAUAUAUAUAUAUAUAUAACUGAUAUUGUUGCUUCAUAUAAUGGGAGGUGGCUAUACUAGUGGAAGAAGGAAAUAGGAAUUUUGACACUUGAAAUUCUUAUGGAGAGGAAUAAAUUAGUGAUUUGGAAGAUAGAAUAAUGGAAAUCACCCAAUCAGGACAGCAGACAGAAAAACAAAUGAAAAAACAUGAAAGCAAUAUAAGAGAUCUAUAGGAUAAUAUAAGCAAGCCAAUCUAUGCAUAAUAGGAAUUUCAGAAGCAGAAGAAGAAGAAAAGGGGAUUGAAAAUAUAUUUGAAGAAAUUAUCUUAAAACUUUUCAAAUCUAAAGGAAACUUAUAUCAAGAUACAGGAAGCACANUGAGGUAAGAAUAAAUAGGAUGGAGGAAACCACAGCUGGAAAGCAAUGACUUAAAUAAG